UGUAUAAAGGCACCUAUUAAUAAGCAUACAAUGAGCAAUAGAUUUUGUAUUUGCAUGAGUUUUGUUGGGACCCUGAACAUCGAUGAUAAAAAAUAUGGAAGUUGGAAACCAAUUGAUGAAUAGAGUUGACGAAGAAAAUGAAGAAACCACGCAUGAAGACAAGUCCAAACGUUAAAGAAAUAAAUUGUCAAGCAAAGUUCAAUGGAG
rnacentral:lncRNA from 1 species